rnacentral:tRNA from 1 species
GCCCGAGUGGCGGAACUUGGUAGACGCACGGGACUUAAAAUCCCGAGUGGGCAACCACGUGCCGGUUCGACCCCGGCCUCGGGCACCA